GACGAACGCUGGCGGCGUGCCUAAUACAUGCAAGUCGAACGCAGUUGCGGACGGGUGAGUAACACGUGGGUAACUGCCUCAUAUCGGGGGAUAACUAUUGGAAACGAUAGCUAAUACCGCAUACUGUGAGAUGGACCUGCGUUUUUUUAGCUAGUUGGGGAGGUAAAGGCUCACGAAGGCGACGAGACAUAGCAGACCUGAGAGGGUGAUCGGCCACACUUGGACAGAGACACGGACCAGAAUCCUAAGGAAGGCAGCAAUAAGGAAGCAUAGGAAAUGGACGGAAGUCUGAACGAGCAACGCCGAGUGAGUGAAGAAGGUUUUCGGAUGGUAAAGCUCUGUAGUUAGAGAAGAGGUAACUAACCAGAAAGGGACGGCUAACUACGAGCCAGCAGCCGCGGUAAUUC
rnacentral:rRNA from 1 species